rnacentral:rRNA from 1 species
UACGUAGGGGGCAAGCGUUGUCCGGAUUUAUUGGGCGUAAAGAGCGUGUAGGCGGCCAGACAGGUCCGUUGUGAAAACUCGAGGCUCAACCUCGAGAUGUCGAUGGAAACCGUCUGGCUAGAGUCCGGAAGAAGAGUGUGGAAUUCCUGGUGUAGCGGUGAAAUGCGCAGAUAUCAGGAAGAACACCCGUGGCGAAGGCGGCUCUCUGGUACGUGACUGACGCUGAGACGCGAAAGCGUGGGGAGCAAACAGG